AUUGAACGCUGGCGGCAUGCCUUACACAUGCAAGUCGAACGGUAACGGGCCUUCGGGUGCCGACGAGUGGCGAACGGGUGAGUAAUACAUCGGAACGUGCCCGAUCGUGGGGGAUAACGAGGCGAAAGCUUUGCUAAUACCGCAUACGAUCUACGGAUGAAAGCAGGGGACCGCAAGGCCUUGCGCGGACGGAGCGGCCGAUGGCAGAUUAGGUAGUUGGUGGGAUAAAAGCUUACCAAGCCGACGAUCUGUAGCUGGUCUGAGAGGAUGAUCAGCCACACUGGGACUGAGACACGGCCCAGACUCCUACGGGAGGCAGCAGUGGGGAAUUUUGGACAAUGGGCGCAAGCCUGAUCCAGCCAUGCCGCGUGCAGGAUGAAGGCCUUCGGGUUGUAAACUGCUUUUGUACGGAACGAAAAGCCUUCUUUUAAUACAGGAGGGUCAUGACGGUACCGUAAGAAUAAGCACCAGCUAACUACGUG
rnacentral:rRNA from 1 species